rnacentral:rRNA from 1 species
AUUGAACGCUGGCGGCAUGCUUUACACAUGCAAGUCGAACGGUAACAGGCCGCAAGGUGCUGACGAGUGGCGCACGGGUGCGUAAUGCAUCGGAACGUGCCCAGUCGUGGGGGAUAACUACUCGAAAGAGUAGCUAAUACCGCAUACGAUCUAUGGAUGAAAGCGGGGGACCGUAAGGCCUCGCGCGAUUGGAGCGGCCGAUGUCGGAUUAGGUAGUUGGUGGGGUAAAGGCUCACCAAGCCAACGAUCUGUAGCUGGUCUGAGAGGACGACCAGCCACACUGGGACUGAGACACGGCCCAGACUCCUACGGGAGGCAGCAGUGGGGAAUUUUGGACAAUGGGCGCAAGCCUGAUCCAGCAAUGCCGCGUGCAGGAAGAAGGCCUUCGGGUUGUAAACUGCUUUUGUACGGAACGAAACGGCUCUGGUUAAUACCCGGGGCUAAUGACGGUACCGUAAGAAUAAGCACCGGCUAACUACGUG